rnacentral:rRNA from 1 species
GUAGUCAUAUGCUCGUCUCAAAGAUUAAGCCAUGCACGUGCGAGUACGAUCUCGGUCACGCAGAGAGAAACUACAGAUGGCUCAUUAAAUCAGUCGUAUCUCCAGAGAUCGUGAGUUACCCGUGGAUAUCCGUGGUAAUUCUAGAGCUAAUACAUGCGCCGAGCUCGCCCGCGCGCGUCCGUCGCCGCCCCGCGAGCGCUUUUAUUAGACCGAGACCGAAAGGCGUCGGGCGAUUUCCUACAGAUGUUUGACCCGGCGCCUAACCUUCGGCGACUCUGGAUAACCGAGCCGAUCGCCCGGCCCUCGCGCCGGCGACGUAUCUCUCAGGUGUCCGACCUAUCAAUCGACGAAGGUCGGCGAUCUGCCUACCUCGAUUACGACGGGUAACGGGGAAUCGGGGUUCGAUUCCGGAGAGGGAGCCCGAGAAACGGCUACCACAUCCAAGGAAGGCAGCAGGCGCGCAAAYUACCCAAUCCCGAAACGGGGAGGUAGUGACGAAAAAUAACGAUGUCGGGUCGCUACGCGGCGCGACGAUCGAAAUGAGUCGGCGUUAAACCCGUCGGCGAGUACCUAUCGGAGGGCAAGUCUGGUGCCAGCAGCCGCGGUAAUUCCAGCUCCGAUAGCGUAUGCUAAAGUUGUCGCGGUUAAAAAGCUCGUAGUUGGAUCACGGUUCGUCGGCCCUCGCCGUCGCCUCGCGGCUUCGCGCGAUCGUCCGGAACCUUCCGCCCGACGUCCGGCGGUGCUCUUCGCCGAGUGUCCGCUCCCGGACGCGGGCACGGUUACUUUGAGGAAAUUAGAGUGCUCAAGGCGGGUCCGUACGCGGCCCGAAUAUCGCAGCAUGGAAUAACGGAAUCUGGCCUCCGGCCGGGCGCGGCCGCGGCCGCCUCGCGCGAAGGCCCGCGUUUCGCGCGCGCGCGUCGCGUCGUCCUCGCCCGCGCGUCCGCCCUCGCGGCGGCGCGCGCGGCGGGAGGCGGCCGGCCACGCCGCGGGCGCGACGUCCCGCGCGUCGGCGCGCCGUCCGGUCCGCGUUCGGCGGCGAGUCUUCGUUCGUUGGUCUCGAGACUCGAGGCGUCGAUUAAGAGGGACGGCCGGGGGCGUUCGUAUCGCGGCGCGAGAGGUGAAAUUCUUGGACCGUCGCGAGACGCACUAGAGCGAAAGCAUUCGCCAAGGAUGUUUUCUUUAGUCAAGAACGAAAGUCAGAGGUUCGAAGACGAUCAGAUACCGUCGUAGUUCUGACCAUAAACGGUGUCGCCUACUCGUCGGCCGCGGAUCUCGAUCGACCCGGCCGGCGACCCCCGGGAAACCUUCGAGGCUUCCGACUCCGGGGGAAGUAUGUUCGCAAAGAUGAAACUUAAAGGAAUUGACGGAAGGGCACCACCAGGAGUGGAGCCUGCGGCUUAAUUCGACUCAACACGGGAAAACUCACCCGGCCCGGACUACGCGAGGAUUGACAGAUCGAUAGCUCUUUCUCGAUUCGCAGGAUGGUGGUGCAUGGCCGUUCUUAGUUGGUGGAGCGAUUUGUCUGGUUAAUUCCGAUAACGAACGAGACUCUAGCCUGCUAAAUAGACGCGCGAUCCGUCGAGACGCCGCGCCGGCGAGCUCGCGUCGGCGGCCCGCGUCCGGGCGCGCGUCGCGCUCGCGUCUCCGCCGCUCUUCGGGGCGACGGGGCGCGGGUAGCGCGCGCGUCCCGCGGCGCGUCGUCGCCCCGCGCGCGAGUCGGGUCGCGGCACUCGCGUCGCGCGCGCCUUCGAGGUCUUCUUAGAGGGACGACCGGCUUUUAGCCGUACGAGAUUGAGCGAUAACAGGUCUGUGAUGCCCUUAGAUGUCCGGGGCCGCACGCGCGCUACACUGCGCGGGACGGCGCGCUCCUACCCCGGGCCCCCAACGGCUCGGGUAACCGUCGAACCCCGCGCGUGCUCGGGAUAAGGCUUUGAAAUUCUCGCCUCCCAACGAGGAAUUCCUAGUAGGCGCGGGUCAUCAACCCGCGUCGAUUGCGUCUCUGCCCUUUGUACACACCGCCCGUCGCUACUACCGAUCGAACGGCUCAGAGAGGGCGCCGGAUCGAGGAGCCGGCGCGCGCGGGUUCGCCCGCGCCGCGGCCGAUCGACGAUGCGUCCGAACUCGGCCGUUUAGAGGAAGUAAAAGUCGUAACAAGGUUUCC